AAAAAGACGAGAUGUUCUUUUCUUAAAAACAUUACAGAAUAUAGUCCUAACAUAGUGAGACUGGUGCCUUCUGGGAAGAGGCAGACGUGACUCCACAGCAGCAGUUGGUGCUUCACUUAGAAUGGCCACGGUCUGAAAGUAGCUUGAUCAGUGUGAUUAAAUGGAGUAAUGUGUAAUGCAAAGAAUUUCCCCUUUGGUCCUUCCAGGUUACUAAGUGAUUCUCCACCUUGUAGAGAAAAUGAUGCAAUACAAACAAGGAAAAGUGAAGAAAGUCAGGAGAUUCAGAAAAAAUUAUAUGCACUAGAAGAACACCUUAGCAGUGAGGUACAAGCCAAGGAGGAACUGGAACAGAAGUGCAAGUCUAUUAAUACUCGUCUAGAGAAAACAGCAAAGGAACUAGAAGAAGAG
rnacentral:lncRNA from 1 species